rnacentral:lncRNA from 1 species
AGGAGAGGGAAGAUGUGAGUGAGCAAGAAGAAAUGUCAAGCAGAGCCCCAGGAAUAAACUGCAAAAUCCCUAUGGAUCCAAAAUCAUCUGCAGGAUUCCUUAGACCUGCCUAGACAUUUUAGGGGCAGAGGUGAUUUGAAAGCCGGAGCGUCAUGAAACACCUCCCAAUUCACCGCGGAUUCAUGAUCCACAGAAAAAUGAAGAAAACAAAGCCCUGCAACCCAAGCAGAGCCACACAGACAGGACAACACUAGGUUGGGAGACUCAAAAAAAAAAAAAAGAAGAAGAAGCGCUUACGUGUGUUAGUCUCAUUCCUUUAAACAGACUCCACUUACAGGCACAUGCACAUAUACACACACACACACACACACACAAACAUCCCACACUCGCUAGCCUCCCACAGAAGCACACAGCCAAGCAGCUACUGAGGAUGCAUGGUUCUGCAGAAAGCCCCAUCUGGGAGAGGGUAUCCUGUUGGAACACAGGCAGGAUGUAUCUAGAAAUCACAGUGGGGCAAGUUUAAAAGAGACUCACCCCUACAACAUCUGUACAGGCUUGAGGAAUCCUGCAGAUAUUUUGGAUUCUUACAGAUUUCACAGUUUAUUCCUGGGGUUGUGCUUGAGGUUUCUUCAGUCUGGUUCACAUCUGCCUUCUUUUGGGAUCAUGGCACUAUCUGGAGAAUCCAACAGAAAAGAGGUGAGAACACACUGCCAUUGCACCUACAUGGAGGUCUCCGCCGCCAAGCUGAGGGCCUUGUAGCUCGGCAAUGAUGACAUUCGUUGUGACACAAGCCAGGGAUCAUAAUCAGGCCUCGUUCCCUGAGUCUAGCACAUGCACAGUCCUGAGGCAGGCAAGGAUGCCCGGCUCUCAGAACUGUCAGCCUGCCUAAGCACAGGAAAAUACUGCAGGCAAAACAGUCCUGGUGUUGCAAUAAAGGCUGCCUGUGAACACCCACUGUGGGACACUAAAUUUCUGCACGUCAAGGCCCCCUUGGGCCAUCUCUGUCGUCUGGUCCCCUGGAGGAGGAGGCAUUUUCAGACUGUGAGGUGGUCACUGGAAACUGGUCUUCUGACUUUAUUCCCCAAAGAGGCUGUGUGCAAGAAUCAGGUCCCAUGGGGAUUGGAAUAUAGUCUGGUGUUUCUGAAGGUCCUUUGGGUGAUAGAAACAUGUCUGAGACCCCAGA